rnacentral:lncRNA from 1 species
AUGCUGGGGAGCCUCCCUGUCAGAAAAAAGGAUGUUGAGAAUACAUUUCUGAUCAAACGAUGUAGACAGUUCCGAGUUCUCACUGGAGUUUUUAGAGACGUGAAACGACCUAUCCUUCGCAGAAUCGGUAUAGUCGUUUGCGUUUUCUUCCACACGAAUGCCGCUCUCCUCCUGAUGGCAAUGAUCGUGGGUACCAGCUCCCUUACGGACUUUUUUUCGCGUAUAGGAAACAUUGCCAGUUUUAUUACCGUCAUGACCAUCACCUUUUUCUACACUCGUCGCGAGGAGAGAAUAACGCUCGUGUGUCAUGAAAUGGCAGAGCAGUGGCUCAAGUAUAAGAGAAAAGUCCGGUAUCCAAGCGGAAUCAAAACCAUCAAAAUGUGCGAGAGGAUGAUGAAGUUCAUGUUCUGGGUCUUGGUCAUCGGCUCAUUCAGCGUCUUCAACUUUUACACGACGUAUCCAAUCAUCGUCUAUUAUUUUUUCCCUCUCAAAAGUCAAAAAUAUAUUGCUUUUCCAUUAAGAAUUUAUUUUCCUUUCGAGUCAGCUCCGUACCUCCGAGCAUAUGUGUACUUUAUAAUGUGCGCUUGCAUAGGGUACUACUGUAUAUUGUUAGCAAUUAUAUCGAGCAUGUACCUUUGCCUAUUUUGCAAAUUAGAGGCUUCAUUUAUAUUGAACGGUGCAUUUUAUGAGCGGUUUCGCGUACAGGAGUUGAAUCCGCGGCCGAAAGGAAAUAUUGUCCGCAAAGACGAAAUCAUUCGAAAAUGGAAUGUAGCGCGCAUUGUCCUUAGCAUCAGUGAACAUCAAUCAUUGUACAGAAUGGCGGAGGACUUGAAAGAGUUUAUACGCGAGUCCAUAUUGGCCAUGUAUAUUGGAGCCAUAAUUGCUGUUACCUUCACUUCGUAUAUAUUUAUAAACGACCCAGAGCGUUAUGCGUACGGCGUGACGUUAAUGAUUAUUCCAGUCGUCCACAUAUUCGCAUUUUUUUUCAUGGCUUCCAGAGUCACUGUUGCCUGCGAGGAAACCGCAAAUAUUCUCUACCAAGAACAUUUGGACCUUCUGAAAGAGGGAUCUGAAAUUCGAUUCAAUGUCCUCCUGUUCUUGCUGAUGCGAUCUCAGAAACCUGUAGUCUUUGAGGCUGGUAGGCUUCGCGAGUUGACGUUAUUUAAUUUUGUUUCGUUCAUGCAGAAUCUGUAUUCGUUCGUGAUGCUCAUGCAUUCUCUCAAGGAGGCGACGCUGUGA